rnacentral:pre_miRNA from 1 species
GAAUUACUCCCUCCGAUCCUAAAUUGUUGUCGAAAUAUUACAUGUAUCUAGACACUUUUUAAGAAUAGAUACAUCCAUAUUUGAGCAAAUUUGAGUCAAUAAUUUAGGAUCAGAGGGAGUACAUG